AACCGCCCGGCUGCCCUCGAUCAGUAAGGGCAGAACAGUCGUGCAUCUGCAGUCUUGUUCGUCGGUGCAGGGAGUAAUUUUCGGGUGUCAGCAUCCUCUGUGUCGGCUGACGUAACAGUUGGCGGAUGGAGAGAAGUACGUGCAGGUUUCGUGGCGUAAGCGCAAAUCGGUUCCACACUACGAGCGUCCGCCCGUGUGAUGACAGAGCGGAACUGACAGGUGCCUGGACUAGAGAGCCUGUAUACAGAGAGAGUGGCCAUAGGUGAAGUUGCCCGUGAUUGGUUGAUUAGCUUUGGCAGAAAAAUGGCGCCAAACGUCUCUCGCGCUUCCUAUGUUCGCCGUGCUUUUGAGUUGAAGUUCAGAGGACUUUUGGAAACGAUUAAAAGGUGGCUGGAGACGUCGCGAGGCAGCCUUCAGCCAUAGAGAGACUGCUGGCCGUGGGAACGCGCGCCUGCUCUGGCCCAGGACGUCGCGAGGCAGCCGAGUCCCGCCGCUGUCGGCAUCGAGCGCGCUGCGUUCGGCUUUUCCCAGUCUUCGGGCUCAGGCAAGUCCGCGUGCAGGCAGGUUCGGUAGCGAGCAGUUUACAUCGCAGACGGAACCUCCGUCCACAGGCCGUGGCGGGCCCACCGGUACCUACUGACCGCCGCUGUCAUCCUUCGCCAGAGCCGCCACCGGAUGCGGUACGGAGGGGCGCGGGGUCUGGUCAGCACACCGCCCUCCCGGCCGUGGUCAGCUUCUGUGACGGGGAAGUGCUGCUGCUCGACCAGAUGCUCAGUGGCAUCGCGAGGCUGACUGCACCGCGAUCGGCUCGUACCUAGCAGUACUGGGAUGUCUGGGUGGAAGCCAGCCGCGGAGCUGUGUAAUGUAUGACACUUCUCCAGCAGACGAGAAUGUAAUCCGCACUGUCAGCAGUGGUCGACGCUUUCAUUACUGCCGUAAAUUUGUCUUCGACAUUACGUGAAAACCGACGCGUGGACAGUGAAGUAUCCAUCCUUACCUUCUGUUGUUCUAUCGUCCUCUGUCACUUUGGGUUACUCUAAUUAUAACGUAAUGAAUCGAGGGUACAGAAUCGACGUCGUCGUCCCUUCUCGAGGAUUAUUAUCUGGAUGUGCUGUAGCUUAUAGCAGAUUUACUCUUUUCCUACUUCAUUCUUCGUAUGCUGAAUUUUGUAUUUCUCUUGCGGUAGGUAUUCUCCUUACACUUCAUUCCUGUUCUUCUUUCUCUGGUUGCGUGGGUCACCCGUAGCUGCUCACUCAGCAGAUCUGGCCAUCUCGCGGCCGUCAGCCACUGCACCUGGUUGCCCAGAGCACUGGCAAGACAGUUUCUUGAAUUCCUCGCAGACUGCCGGGAUCGAUCUCUUCGCAUCGCAAUCUCAGCAGUCCCGUGCAGCACUGCUGGGCUGACGUCGCACGGCAGCUGCAGUGCCUCACUUUGCACCAUCUGUGGCCUUUCCACAUGCUAUGCCAGCAUGCUCGAGCACUGCCAAGUACAGCAGUAGUAUAGCUAACUGUGUUUUGGUGCAUUUUGUUAUUGCGGGUUGUCUACAUCAGGGCAGGUAUGCACUCAGGGGUGGACCUAUUGUUCUCCUUUGAUUGACAGGUACUUAAACUAUUGUUCCCCUAAAAGGAUCCUUUUAGCAGAACAAUAGGUUAAGUACCUGCCAAUCAAAAGGAAGGAUCCUUUCAGCAGAACUAUAAGUACCUGUCAAUCAAAGGAGAACAAUAGGUUUGCCCCUGAGUGCAUACCUACCCCUGAUGUAGGCAACCCGUACUAACAAAAUGCACUGAAACGCAGUUAGCUAUACUACUUACAGUGUGAGGCCGCAGUGUGAUGGAAUCGUCGUCAUGGGGUUCAGCAGUGGCUGAAGCAUGUGCGUUCUGCCUAGUGCAUUACCAAUCGCCUCCCUGACGAGUGGCUUCCACCUUAGGUGUCAGUCCACUGCGACACCGAGGUAUCUGCUGGUGUCAGACCGGUGUAUGGGACCUCCCACAAUCUGUAACGGCUGCAGCUCUGGCGGAAUCUUCUCUCUGGUGAAAAUCACGGCCUGACUUUUGAACUUGAGCCGCCACUUGGCGGUCAGUGCUCCGAGCUCACUGCAGGCCAGUUGCAGGCGGCAUUUCUUCAGUUCUGCGUUCGUGCUUCGCGGUAAAAGCGCCAGGACCCCUCUACCGUGAAGAGGCAGUACAGGAGGGGGCCGAGGACGGACCCCUGUGGUACAUCUGUUCUCAUGGAAUGUGCUGUCGAUUGCCCAUCAUCUGCGCGAACGUGGAAGCUGCGCCCAGUCGACUACGGUCGGAGCAGACGGGCGUGCCAUGUACCAGAAGUUGAAACGUGAGGUGGUCGUGGCACACGCUGUAGAAGGUUCUGGAGGCGUCAAGGAGUACCGCCGCGAGGUACUAGCGUCGCUCCAGUGCCGCCUUCGGCAGGUCCGCUACACAUAUGAGUUGAUGCUGUGCUGAGUCGUCUGUUCAGAAGCCGAACUGCUCGUCUGGAAGGAGGCCUUCAUCACUCACGUGGCGCAACAGCCGGUUGGAGUACAGCCUCUCUACCACUUUGGAGAUGGCAGGUAGCAGGCUGAUGGACAAGUAGCUCUCCGCCAGCCUGCCUUUACGACUGGCUACCACCUCCCCAUGUUUCCAUGCAGUCGCUUUAGAAUAAUAACGGUCACCAGUCCCAACAGCAGCCGAUUUUAUUUAAUACACGACCAGUUUCGGGCUUGUGCCCAUCUUGGGUAGUUUACGUUUACACGUUAAACAGUGAUCUCCAUCACACAGUACAGAAACUUGUGCCUGAGUGUCAACUAGCUCAAGGCGGGCAGAAGCCCAAACCCGAUGUGUAUUAAAUAAAAUCGCCUUCCAUCGUGACUGGUAGCUGUUAUUAUUCUACAUCCUAUAAACGAUCAGUCGCGGAGUUCUGCUACAUUCAUUAUGCAUAAAAUACAUAUAAAGAAACGAAUUUUUCAUGCUAUACACGGUUCGCCUUAAUUAUUUCAAAGGUGUUCACACGAUUUUGGUUUAAAUACUGGACAUCGUACACUGAGGAUACAAACGGGUUUUGCCAAAAGUGAAUGUACACUGUCCAGUACAUAAAACAAAAUAGUGUACACAGAAAUAUGUAUACACAGCAGAGCACUGAUAACGCCCAUCAAACAAUAAACUCGAAACACGUAUGGCACGAAAAAUUUGUUUCAUUCUGUUUUAAUAAGAGGAACCCAAAGCGAUAAUAAUUAACAUAAACUUACAUCAUUAUGUGAAGUAGUUUAGUUAGCGCUUCGCACGGUGUAAGAUGUUAAUAUGUGGCUGUGUGAAGAUCGAAGUGGCUCUCCGGAAACCGAUAACGGCCUGCAUGAAAAUAUUCUUACUAUUGGUGCCGUAAAAUAAUCUGGAAGAACGUAGGUUAAAAUCUAACGACGGCGUGGACGGAGGAGAGCACGGUGAGAGCAAAAGCUUAGUAUCUUUACGAUGAAAUGGAAAAUAACAUUCGGAAUUCCUGAAAAGACCUUCCUUUGCAUUUGCUUAAAGUGAUCUACGGUAACCAAGGAAAAAUCGGAAUGGGUUUGCGAGGAUUUAAUCUGGUUGCCUCAAAGAGUGGGCCCAUGGUCGUAUGAAUCUCUUUUAAUACGUAACAGCAGGUUGCAGACCUCCGCUCUGUAGGAAAGGUCAACAUUAAGGUGAGCGUACAUUGUCGCCCCUAACUUCUGAAAUGCGUUGACUGUAAUAUUUCUGGCUUAGUCAGCCAUCAUAUUAGGCUCCAAGAAGCUGUUCCCAGAGCAAUGUAGAUGCAAGAAGUCUAUAGAUGACGAAAUGUGGUGUGAGGUACCUGUGACAGAUUCGGUACCAUUCCCGUGAGGAAGACCGCCUGCAUAAUGCUACUGCUCUGUGAUUGGCUGCUGUGUUCGGAGCAAGGGCGCCAAAACGUUAAAGUAUAGUUAUUAUUAUUAGUUAAACUACUCAUUGGAAUGACUUCACUUUUUAAUAUAAAUAUCUCUCAACAGCUGACUAUGAAUCAGUCAUUUUAGAAUUAUUAAAAACAAUUUAAAUAAAAAACAAAAGACUGACGAAAUUGCAGACGAAGCACUUCGGAAGCAUUCGGGUCACGCCUUUUCUGGUAUGGCGCGCGAAGUGUUUCGGGCUGUUCGUCACUCUGGAUUAGACAGUCGAGAAGAACAGACACGUUGUCUGUCAUAGGAAGAGUUUCCAACUUUUAUUUAAGUUCCUGUUCGUCACUCUGCUUUAGGCAGUCGAGAAGAACAGUCAUGUUGUCUAUCGCAAGAUGUGUUUGCCAGUAUUCAGUAUUAAAAGAUUCACUCUGGUAGUCAUGAGGCACAGACACUUGCCACAAAUAGUGUUAAGAUACAUUUUCGUAAACAUUGUGUUUGAUCAUGUACUUUGCUGUAUCAGAAGGUGUUGUGAUAAGGUCAUGUAGUCUUCUCGUGUGGCUAUAUUAAAAUACGCGAGUGGCAUCCCAAA